GUCAACGACCUAAGCGUUGAGUGCAAACCCCUAUAAGGCAAGGGCUUGCAGUUAACUCUAGUUGACCAGUUCAAGUCCAUUAAAGGGCUACGUUUACGACAAGCGUUUAAGAACUCACCUUGGGGUGCGUGCCAGCCCCAGGCUCUGAAACCAGAUUGUUAAAAGUCCGAGGAGGUUUAGGACCGUGCAAUUUGGAUAGUUACCGAUCGUAAACAUGAACGAGGCAAACUUUAC
rfam:Tolypothrix sp. PCC 7601 strain TTEX B 481 genomic scaffold FDTTEX481_Contig14, whole genome shotgun sequence.